UUGAGGCGUGGCUUCCGGAGCUAACGCGUUAAGUCGACCGCCUGGGGAGUACGGCCGCAAGGUUAAAACUCAAAUGAAUUGACGGGGGCCCGCACAAGCGGUGGAGCAUGUGGUUUAAUUCGAUGCAACGCGAAGAACCUUACCUACUCUUGACAUCCAGAGAAUUCGCUAGAGAUAGCUUAGUGCCUUCGGGAACUCUGAGACAGGUGCUGCAUGGCUGUCGUCAGCUCGUGUUGUGAAAUGUUGGGUUAAGUCCCGCAACGAGCGCAACCCUUAUCCUUUGUUGCCAGCACGUAAUGGUGGGAACUCAAAGGAGACUGCCGGUGAUAAACCGGAGGAAGGUGGGGAUGACGUCAAGUCAUCAUGGCCCUUACGAGUAGGGCUACACACGUGCUACAAUGGCGUAUACAAAGAGAAGCGAACUCGCGAGAGCAAGCGGACCUCAUAAAGUACGUCGUAGUCCGGAUCGGAGUCUGCAACUCGACUCCGUGAAGUCGGAAUCGCUAGUAAUCGUAGAUCAGAAUGCUACGGUGAAUACGUUCCCGGGCCUUGCACUCACCGCCCGUCA
rnacentral:rRNA from 1 species